CAGCAGCCGCGGUAAGACAGAGGAUGCAAGCGUUGUCCGGAAUUAUUGGGCGUAAAGAGCUCGUAGGCGGUCUGUCGCGUCUGGUGUGAAAUCCCGAGGCUCAACCUCGGGCUUGCAUCGGGUACGGGCAGACUAGAGUGCGGUAGGGGAGACUGGAAUUCCUGGUGUAGCGGUGGAAUGCGCAGAUAUCAGGAGGAACACCGAUGGCGAAGGCAGGUCUCUGGGCCGCAACUGACGCUGAGGAGCGAAAGCAUGGGGAGCGAACAGGAUUAGAUACCCCAGUAGUCCCUGUCUCUUAUAC
rnacentral:rRNA from 1 species